CUAAUACCGAAUAUGACCACGCGCUUCAUGGUGUGUGGUGGAAAGCUUUUGCGGUGUGGGAUGGGCCCGCGGCCUAUCAGCUUGUUGGUGGGGUAAUGGCCUACCAAGGCGACGACGGGUAGCCGGCCUGAGAGGGUGACCGGCCACACUGGGACUGAGAUACGGCCCAGACUCCUACGGGAGGCAGCAGUGGGGAAUAUUGCACAAUGGGCGCAAGCCUGAUGCAGCGACGCCGCGUGAGGGAUGACGGCCUUCGGGUUGUAAACCUCUUUCAAUAGGGACGAAGCGCAAGUGACGGUACCUAUAGAAGAAGGACCGGCCAACUACGUGCCAGCAGCCGCGGUAAUACGUAGGGUCCGAGCGUUGUCCGGAAUUACUGGGCGUAAAGAGCUCGUAGGUGGUUUGUCGCGUUGUUCGUGAAAACUCACAGCUUAACUGUGGGCGUGCGGGCGAUACGGGCAGACUAGAGUACUGCAGGGGAGACUGGAAUUCCUGGUGUAGCGGUGGAAUGCGCAGAUAUCAGGAGGAACACCGGUGGCGAAGGCGGGUCUCUGGGCAGUAACUGACGCUGAGGAGCGAAAGCGUGGGGAGCGAACAGGAUUAGAUACCCUGGUUAGUCCACGCCGUAAACGGUGGGUACUAGG
rnacentral:rRNA from 1 species